UGUUCCCAUCCCGAACACAGUAGUUAAGCUUUUUAGCGCCGAUGGUAGUUGGGGGUUUCCCCCUGUGAGAGUAGGACAUUGCCAAGC
rnacentral:rRNA from 1 species